rnacentral:rRNA from 1 species
AGAGCUUGCUCUCUGAUGGUCGAGUGGCGAACGAGUGAGUAAUAUAUCGGAACGUACCUAGUAAUGGGGAACAACCAGCCGAAAGGUUGGCUAAUACCGCAUACGACCUACGGGUGAAAGCAGGGGAUCUUCGGACCUUGCGUUAUUAGAGCGGCCGAUAUCUGAUUAGGUAGUUGGUGGGGUAAAGGCCUACCAAGCCGACGAUCAGUAGCUGGUCUGAGAGGACGAUCAGCCACACUGGAACUGAGACACGGUCCAGACUCCUACGGGAGGCAGCAGUGGGGAAUUUUGGACAAUGGGGGAAACCCUGAUCCAGCCAUUCCGCGUGAGUGAAGAAGGCCUUCGGGUUGUAAAGCUCUUUCGCAAGAGAAGAAAUCUUACUAUCGAAUAAAUAGUAAGGAUGACGGUAUCUUGACAAGAAGCACCGGCUAACUACGUGCCAGCAGCCGCGGUAAUACGUAGGGUGCGAGCGUUAAUCGGAAUUACUGGGCGUAAAGCGUGCGCAGGCGGUUUUAUAAGUCAGAUGUGAAAUCCCCGAGCUCAACUUGGGAACUGCGUUUGAAACUGUAAGACUAGAGUGUGUCAGAGGGGGGUAGAAUUCCACGUGUAGCAGUGAAAUGCGUAGAGAUGUGGAGGAAUACCAAUGGCGAAGGCAGCCCCCUGGGAUAACACUGACGCUCAUGCACGAAAGCGUGGGGAGCAAACAGGAUUAGAUACCCUGGUAGUCCACGCCCUAAACGAUGUCUACUAGUUGUUGGUGGAGUAAAAUCCAUGAGUAACGCAGCUAACGCGUGAAGUAGACCGCCUGGGGAGUACGGUCGCAAGAUUAAAACUCAAAGGAAUUGACGG